rnacentral:rRNA from 1 species
UACGUAGGCAGCAAGCGUUGUUCGGAGUUACUGGGCGUAAAGGGUGUGUAGGCGGUUCUUUAAGUUUGCUGUGAAAUCUCCCGGCUUAACCGGGAGGGUGCGGUGAAUACUGAGGACUAGAGUACGGGAGAGGAAAGUGAAAUUCCUGGUGUAGCGGUGAAAUGCGUAGAUAUCAGGAGGAACACCGGUGGUGUAGACGGCUUUCUGGACCGACACUGACGCUGAGACACGAAAGCGUGGGUAGCAAACAGG